rnacentral:rRNA from 1 species
UACGAAGGGGGCUAGCGUUGUUCGGAAUUACUGGGCGUAAAGGGCGCGUAGGCGGUGUGUCAAGUCAGGCGUGAAAGCCCCGGGCUCAACCUGGGAACCGCGCUUGAGACUGGCACGCUAGAGUUCGGGAGAGGAUGGUGGAAUUCCCAGUGUAGAGGUGAAAUUCGUAGAUAUUGGGAAGAACACCGAUGGCGAAGGCAGCCAUCUGGACCGACACUGACGCUGAGGAGCGAAAGCGUGGGGAGCGAACAGG